CGCCACCCUCAGCGACAGCGACGAGAGUAACGCCCUCUCCAUAGCGCUGGAGGCCGGACACAAGGACAUCGCCGUGCUGCUGUAUGCACACGUCAACUUCUCCAAAGCUCAGUCCCCGGGUACGCCUCGCCUGGGCAGAAAGACGUCGCCCAGUCCCACGAGAAGAAGCAUAUUUGAUUAGAGGUCCCGCCUCUUCCAAGCUUUUGU